UACGAAGGGGGCUAGCGUUGCUCGGAAUCACUGGGCGUAAAGGGUGCGUAGGCGGGUCUUUAAGUCAGGGGUGAAAUCCUGGAGCUCAACUCCAGAACUGCCUUUGAUACUGAGGAUCUUGAGUUCGGGAGAGGUGAGUGGAACUGCGAGUGUAGAGGUGAAAUUCGUAGAUAUUCGCAAGAACACCAGUGGCGAAGGCGGCUCACUGGCCGAUACUGACGCUGAGGCACUAAAGCGUGGGGAGCAAACAGG
rnacentral:rRNA from 1 species